ensembl:lncRNA
UGGGUAUUGGACUGGGGUUCUGAUCAAGACUAUAUAAUGGUGUGGUCUUAUUCAGACAGGUUGAUUUAUCACUUAGCAGACUUGGGUUCAAAUGCUUUUCAAAAUACUUGAAACACUUUCAGCGUUUGCUUUUGCCUGCCCGGGGUGCCAGAUGAACAGGGUUGGGUCGUUUGUGACAGUUUCAUAUUCUAUUGGAUCCAUUGCGCCAGGCAAGCUCAAUCAAGCCCAGAAAGAGGAUAUGAAAGGAUUUGAACCCAGAGCUGCUACGUGAUAAAUCAGCCUAUCUGAAUAAGAUCUCACUGUUGUAUGGACUUGAGCAGAAACCCAGUAUCCAGCUUCAGGCACGUAGAAAUAGACAGUACUAGAAAGUAAUAGAUUUUUAUUUUUUAUUUAUUUUUACUAGGCAAGUCAGUUAAGAACAAAUUCUUAUUUUCAAUGACGGCCUAGGAACAAACAGUGUUGAUCCUGGUUAUGAUGUCCUGCUGAGGACAGAACUAGUUGUGGCACAGUGUUGAUCCUGGUUGUGAUGUCCUGCUGAGGACAGAACUAGUUGUGGCACAGUGUUGAUCCUGGCUGUGAUGUCCUGCUGAGGACAGAACUAGUUGUAGGGACGUGGAUGGAGGAAUGGGGGUGGAUGGAGGAAUGGGGGUGGAUGGAGGAGUGGGGGUGGAUGGAGGAGUGGAUGGGGACGUUAACUGCCUUGUUCAGGGGCAGAACGACCUUGUCAGCUCGGGAUUUGAACUUGCAACCUUUCGGUUACUAGUCCAACGCUCUAACCACUAGGCUACGCUGCCACCCAGAUAUGUAUAGCAUUAGUAGACAGGUGUUCUAAUAUCAGAAAUGUACAACUGUUUGCUUAUGUGACCUUUCAAGGCAUUCAUAGUUUGAUUAAAUCAUAUGUUGAGGUUUCCAUGCCCCGGCUUGACAUUUGAAUUAAAUCAUAAAUUAUAGUCCUUGCCAUAUCUACUCAAAGUCAGCGGGAUUGCAUGGCACACUGUGCAAAGAGUCUGGGUGUUUUCAACCACUGACAAACGGCUGGAUUCUUGUGAAACUGGCAUUGGCUCCAACUGGGGCAAAAUGCCAUGAUGCCCCUGGCUCCAACUGGGGCAAAAUGCCAUGAUGCCCCUGGUUCCAACUGGGGCAAAAUGCCAUGAUGCCCCUGGUUCCAACUGGGGCAAAAUGACAUGAGGGGUGGAGGAGUGGGGGUGGAUGGGGAAGGGAUGGAGGAGUGGGGGGGUGGAUGGAGGAGUGGGGAGGGAUGUAAGAGGGAUGGAGGAUGGGUGGAGGAGUGGGGGUGGAUGGAGGAGUGGGGUGGACGGAGGAGUGGAUGGAGGAGUGGAGGUGGAUGGAGGAGUGGGGGUGGAUGGAGGAGUGGAGGUGGAUGGAGGAGUGCGGGUGGAUGGAGAAGUGGGGGUGGAUGGAGGAGUGGGGGUGGAUGGAGGAGUGGAUGGAGGAGUGGGGGUGGAUGAGGGAUGGAGGAGUGGGGGUGGAUGAGGGACGGAGGAGUCGGGUGGAUGGAGGAGUGGGGGUGGAUGAGGGAUGGAGGAGUGGGGGUGGACGAGGGAUGGAGGAGAUGGAGGAGUGGAGGUGGAUGGAGGAGUGGAGGUGGAUGGAGGAGUGGAGGUGGAUGGAGGAGUGGAGGUGGAUGGAGGAGUGGGGGUGGAUGGAGGAGUGGAGGUGGAUGGAGGAGUGGGGGUGGAUGGAGGAGUGGAGGUGGAUGGAGGAGUGGGGGUGGAUGGAGGAGUG